rnacentral:rRNA from 1 species
AAGUCGUAACAAGGUUUCCGUAGGUGAACCUGCGGAAGGAUCAUUAAUUUUCAUGGUAAACCUAGUGCUUGUUGACGGCCAGAGGCUCCACCGAGUGUCCGCUGGUCGAGAGUAUCUAUCGGGUUUGCGACACCGUGUUACCUGCGUUUUCCCCGAAGCGUCGAGGCCAUUGAUUCCGAUUGCGGUUGAGUAAUCUCCUUUCGGUGGAGGCUAUCCUCGGAAGCAGAAGGCGUGCAUGGUGCCGGGCGGACCCCGCAGAAGCGGGUGAACCCUUGGUCGCAGAUGUCUGAAUCCUUUAUUUAUACGUACCUCUCAUUCUCCUUCGGCGGGGCAACCUGCCGCUGGAACCACCAAAAAACUCUUGAAUUUAGCAUUACCUGUUCUGAUAAAAACAAUAAAUUACAACUUUCAACAAUGGAUCUCUUGGCUCUGGCAUCGAUGAAGAACGCAGCGAAAUGCGAUAAGUAGUGUGAAUUGCAGAAUUCAGUGAAUCAUCGAAUCUUUGAACGCACAUUGCGCCCCUUGGUAUUCCAUGGGGCAUGCCUGUUCGAGCGUCAUCUACACCCUCAAGCUCUGCUUGGUGUUGGGCGUCUGUCCCGCCUCUGCGCGUGGACUCGCCUCAAAGUCAUUGGCAGCGGUCUUUGCCUCCUCUCGCGCAGCACAUUGCGUUUCUCGAGGGGCGGGGUCGCGUCCACGAAGCUCAUUUUAUACCGUCUUUGACCUCGGAUCAGGUAGGGAUACCCGCUGAACUUAAGCAUAUCAAUAAGCGGAGGAAAAGAAACCAACAGGGAUUGCCCUAGUAACGGCGAGUGAAGCGGCAACAGCUCAAAUUUGAAAUCUGGCCCUCUUUGGGGGUCCGAGUUGUAAUUUGCAGAGGGUGCUUUGGCAUUGGCGGCGGUCUAAGUUCCUUGGAACAGGACAUCGCAGAGGGUGAGAAUCCCGUACGUGGGCGCCUGCCUUUGCCGUGUAAAGCCCCUUCGACGAGUCGAGUUGUUUGGGAAUGCAGCUCUAAAUGGGAGGUAAAUUUCUUCUAAAGCUAAAUACCGGCCAGAGACCGAUAGCGCACAAGUAGAGUGAUCGAAAGAUGAAAAGUACUUUGGAAAGAGAGUCAAACAGCACGUGAAAUUGUUGAAAGGGAAGCGCUUGCAGCCAGACUUGCCCGCAGUUGCUCACCUAGGCUUUGGCCUGGGGCACUCUUCUGCGGGCAGGCCAGCAUCAGUUUGGGCGGUUGGAUAAAGGCCUCUGUCACGUAUCUCCCUUCGGGGUGACCUUAUAGGGGAGGCGCAAUGCAACCAGCCCGGACUGAGGUCCGCGCAUCUGCUAGGAUGCUGGCGUAAUGGCUGUAAGCGGCC